rnacentral:lncRNA from 1 species
UCCUGUGCCCGGGUCGGCUCCUUACUGGAUAGGCGGAGGGCCGAGGCCCUUCCUCUAGCGCCAUCUGAUGCGGGAUUUGCACCCCGUCACCAGCAGAGUCCCCACCGAUCCGAGCAGCGGAAGAGAAAGUGUCCCCCAGAAGGUAUUGUCCGCUUUGGGUCCGAUUCGGGGGUCGAGCGUACCCGGAGCCCUCCUCACG